rnacentral:rRNA from 1 species
CGGGGUGGAGUAACGCGUGGGUAACCUGCCUCAUACAGGGGGAUAACAGUUGGAAACGACUGCUAAUACCGCAUAAGCGCACAGCUUCGCAUGAAGCAGUGCGAAAAACUCCGGUGGUACAAGAUGGACCCGCGUCUGAUUAGCUGGUUGGUGAGGUAACGGCCCACCAAGGCGACGAUCAGUAGCCGGCCUGAGAGGGUGAGCGGCCACAUUGGGACUGAGACACGGCCCAA